GUUGCCUUUAUCUUUUUAGGGUUCCGUAGCCAAAUGGCAAGAAACGGAACCCUUAUGGAUUCGUCAUGUCUGUCUGUCCGUCCGUAUGUCACAGCCACUUUUUUCCGAAACUAUAAGAACUAUACUGUUGAAACUUGGUAAGUAGAUGUAUUCUGUGAACCGCAUUAAGAUUUUCACACAAAAAUAGAAAAAAAAACAAUUAAUUUUGGGGAUUCCCCAUACUUAGAACUGAAACUCAAAAAUUAUUUUUUCAUCAAACCCAUACGUGUCUUCAAAAAUUAUAUUGAGGUUUCUAAUAUCAUUUUUUUCUAAACUGAAUAGUUUGCCCGAGAGACACUUCCAAAGUGGUAAAAUGUGUCCCCCCCCUGUAACUUCUAAAAUAAGAGAAUAAUAAAAAUAAAAUAAAUAUAUGAUGUACAUUACCAUGCAAACUUCCACCGAAAAUUGGAUUGAACGAGAUCUAGUAAGUAGUUUUUUUUUUAAUACGUCAUAAAUUGUAAA